AUCGGUGUAGUGUGAGUGCCGUGAGGUUAUGUGCAUAUCACGAGCCUACUUUAACAGAGCUUCUUUUUUAAAUGAACGGUCCCUGAACUCUAUAAAACUCACAAUGUUGUUUUCAGCAACAUUGUGAGUUUAAAAUGAAAGAGAGAGAUCUGGAGCAAAGAGGCAGAGCAGUUACCGCGACGAUGAGCUCAGGUGGAAUGAAGGAAUUCUUUCCGAGCAUCCAAAACAGCAGCACUUGUUACUGUAAUCAACAUUAAAACUUCCUGUUCAACAAGCUCCAGUAUGAGGAAAAGCCAGCUCAAUAGCUGCUCGCGUGCAAAGUGACAGCAGUGAAAGUGAAAUGUGCAGGUGAACAAUUAACUUUAGACUUGACGGUUAACUGAAGCCUGCAGCAAGCAGGCCUGGGUCUAAAGACGGUCUUCAUGAGAGCAUGUAAAUGUCCACAUGACAGGACACGGUCCAAUAAUUUAAUGAACCAUGUGUUUCAGAACCUGAAGGCUGUCCUGCCUGCAUGGAAAGGACUGCAGCUGAUCGCUGAGCGGAUCAGUGAUUCCUGAGAGGAGGCGGUUCUCCACGCUGGCUUUGGAGCAAACGUGUUGUAACUUUUGCAAAUGACAGAUUUAAUAAAGGAUGUCGUGUUAAAGCAAA